rnacentral:rRNA from 1 species
AUUGAACGCUGGCGGCAUGCUUUACACAUGCAAGUCGAACGGUAACAGGCCGCAAGGUGCUGACGAGUGGCGGACGGGUGAGUAAUGCAUCGGAACGUGCCCAGUCGUGGGGGAUAACUACUCGAAAGAGUAGCUAAUACCGCAUACGAUCUAUGGAUUAAAUCGGGGGACCGUAAGGCCUCGCGCGAUUGGAUCGGCCGAUGUCAGAUUAGGUAGUUGGUGGGGUAAAGGCUCACCAAGCCAACGAUCUGUAGCUGGUGUGAGAGAACGACCAGCCACACGGGGACUGAGCCACGGCCCAGACUACUACGGGAGGCAGCAGCGGGGAAUUUUGGACAAUGGGCGCAAGCCUGAUCCAGCAAUGCCGAGUGCAGGAAGGAGGCGUUCGGGUUGUAAACUGCUUUUGUACGGAACGAAACGGCUCUGGUUAAUACCCGGGGCUAAUGACGGUACCGGAAGAAUAAGCACCGGCUAACUACGUG